GUCCAAAGCUUUGGCCUUUGAGGGGAGAUUUCCGGUGCGGAGGAGCGAGAGGAGGAUGGAGAAGAGCUCCGGGUCGCGGUCGAUGAAGGGAGGAGGGAGGUGAGGUGCGGCGGAGUCGGAGAUUUUGGAGAGGAGAGAGUCCGGGCCGGCUAGGGUUAGGGUUUGCUUGGUGGUCUGGAAGAGCUGGCCGCCGACGUCAAUGGUGGCGAUGUUGGAUUCGGGUCUGUGGUUU
rnacentral:lncRNA from 1 species